UAAGUGAGGGUCACCUGCUACUGCGG
rnacentral:piRNA from 1 species